GAAACUCUGGAGAGUCUCAUAAGUGAGCGCCGAAGGUGUACAGUUUUCAAAUAGGGAACUAAUCUCUCAGGCAAAAGGACAGAGCUU
rnacentral:ncRNA from 1 species